rnacentral:rRNA from 1 species
UACGUAGGUGGCAAGCGUUGUCCGGAAUUACUGGGCGUAAAGCGUGCGCAGGCGGUUCGUUGUGUCGGCGGUGAAAGCCCCGGGCUUAACCUGGGAAUGGCCGUCGAAACUGGCGAACUGGAGUGUGGCAGAGGGGGGUGGAAUUCCGCGUGUAGCAGUGAAAUGCGUAGAGAUGCGGAGGAACACCGAUGGCGAAGGCAGCCCCCUGGGCUGACACUGACGCUCAGGCACGAAAGCGUGGGGAGCAAACAGG